CAGGCCUAACACAUGCAAGUCGAGCGGAUGAAGGGAGCUUGCUCCCUGAUUUAGCGGCGGACGGGUGAGUAAUGCCUAKCGAAUCUGCCUGGKAGUGGGGGAUAACGUUCCGAAAGGAACGCUAAUACCGCAUACGUCCUACGGGAGAGAGCAGGGGACCUUCGGGCCUUGCGCUAUCAGAUGAGCCUAGGUCGGAUUAGCUAGUUGGUGAGGUAAUGGCUCACCAAGGCGACGAUCCGUAACUGGUCUGAGAGGAUGAUCAGUCACACUGGAACUGAGACACGGUCCAGACUMMUACGGGAGGCAGCAGUGGGGAAUAUUGGACAAUGGGCGAAAGCCUGAUCCAGCCAUGCCGCGUGUGUGAAGAAGGUCUUCGGAUUGUAAAGCACUUUAAGUUGGGAGGAAGGGCAGUAAGCUAAUACCUUGCUGUUUUGACGUUACCGACAGAAUAAGCACCGGCUAACUUCGUGCCAGCAGCCGCGGUAAUACGAAGGGUGCAAGCGUUAAUCGGAAUUACUGGGCGUAAAGCGCGCGUAGGUGGUUCGUUAAGUUGGAUGUGAAAGCCCCGGGCUCAACCUGGGAACUGCAUCCAAAACUGGCGAGCUAGAGUACGGUAGAGGGUGGUGGAAUUUCCUGUGUAGCGGUGAAAUGCGUAGAUAUAGGAAGGAACACCAGUGGCGAAGGCGACCACCUGGACUGAUACUACAGUAGUCAAGCG
rnacentral:rRNA from 1 species